UUUCCGUAGGUGAACCCGCGGAAGGAUCAUUAAUGAGUUGUCAUGGGGUUCGAUGCUGGCAGCCAAUUUUUGGAUGCAUGUGCUUGCCCUAACAAUCAUCUUCCAAACACCUGUGCACAUUUUUGAGUGAGUCUUGAGUUGGUUGCCGCUCUUGGGUGAUUUUCUCACAUUCCCUUAAAUCAUUAUACGCUAUUAACAAUGUUGAACGUGCUCUGUGCCGCAAGGCUAUUAAUAUAAUACAACUUUUAACAACGGAUCUCUUGGCUCUC
rnacentral:misc_RNA from 1 species